UCAGCAGCCGCGGUAAGACAGAGGAUGCAAGCGUUAUCCGGAAUGAUUGGGCGUAAAGCGUCUGUAGGUGGCUUGAAAAGUCUCCUGUCAAAGAUCAGGGCUUAACCCUGGGCCGGCAGGAGAAACUCUUAGGCUAGAGUUCGGUAGGGGCAGAGGGAAUUCCCGGUGGAGCGGUGAAAUGCGUAGAGAUCGGGAGGAACACCAAAGGCGAAAGCACUCUGCUGGGCCGCGACUGACACUCAGAGACGAAAGCGAGGGGAGCAAAUGGGAUUAGAUACCCCAGUAGUCCUCGCCGUAAACGAUGGAUACUAGGUGUUGGAUGGGUUAAAAUCAUUCAGUACCGUAGCUAACGCGUGAAGUAUCCCGCCUGGGGAGUAUGCUCGCAAGAGUGAAACUUAAAGGAAUUGGCGGGGGA
rnacentral:rRNA from 1 species